rnacentral:rRNA from 1 species
UACGUAGGGUGCAAGCGUUUAAUCGGAAUUACUGGGCGUAAAGCGUGCGCAGGCGGUUUUGUAAGUCAGAUGUGAAAUCCCCGGGCUUAACCUGGGAACUGCGUUUGAAACUACAAGGCUAGAGUGUGGCAGAGGGGGGGUGGAAUUCCACGUGUAGCAGUGAAAUGCGUAGAUAUGUGGAGGAACACCGAUGGCGAAGGCAGCCCCCCUGGGAUAACACUGACGCUCAUGCACGAAAGCGUGGGGAGCAAACAGG